rnacentral:rRNA from 1 species
GACAGAGGGGGCAAGCGUUGCUCGGAAUUACUGGGCGUAAAGGGCGCGUAGGCGGAAUGGCAAGUCGGUCGUGAAAUCCUUCGGCUCAACCGAAGAACGUCGAUCGAAACUGCCGUUCUUGAGGAUUGCAGAGGAGACUGGAAUUCCCGGUGUAGCGGUGAAAUGUGUAGAGAUCGGGAGGAACACCGGUGGCGAAGGCGGUCUUCUGGACGGUGACUGACGCUGAGGCGCGAAAGCGUGGGGAGCAAACGGG